rnacentral:rRNA from 1 species
UACGGGGGGGGCAAGCGUUGUUCGGAAUUACUGGGCGUAAAGGGCUUGUAGGCGGCCAACUAAGUCCGACGUGAAAUCCCCAGGCUUAACCUGGGAACUGCGUCGGAUACUGGAUGGCUUGAAUUCGGGAGAGGGAUGCAGAAUUCCAGGUGUAGCGGUGAAAUGCGUAGAUAUCUGGAGGAAUACCGGUGGCGAAGGCGGCAUCCUGGACCGACAUUGACGCUGAGGAGCGAAAGCAUGGGGAGCGAACAGG